AUACGGAGGGUGCAAGCGUUAAUCGGAAUUACUGGGCGUAAAGCGCGCGUAGGCGGAUAUUUAAGUCUCAUGUGAAAGCCCUGGGCUCAACCUGGGAACUGCAUGGGAUACUGGGUAUCUAGAAUACAGUAGAGGGUAGUGGAAUUUCAGGUGUAGCGGUGAAAUGCGUAGAGAUCUGAAGGAACAUCAGUGGCGAAGGCGACUACCUGGACUGAUAUUGACGCUGAGGUGCGAAAGCGUGGGGAGCAAACGGGAUUAGAUACCCUAGUGUCC
rnacentral:rRNA from 1 species